ACCGUGAGGGAAAGGUGAAAAGCACCCCGGGAGGGGAGUGAAAGAGUUCCUGAAACCGUGCGCCUACGAACCGUCGGAGCCCCCGUGUGGGGUGACGGCGUGCCUAUCGAAAAAUGAGUCUGCGAGUCAGUGGCAUGUGGCGAGCCUAAGCCGUUGAGGUGGAGGCGUAGCGAAAGCGAGUCUUAAAAGGCGUUCCAGUCGCGUGUCCUGGACCCGAAGCGGGAUGAUCUAGCCCUGGGCAGGUUGAAGCGCGGGUAAGACCGCGUGGAGGACCGCACCCACUUAGGUUGAAAACUGAGGGGAUGACCUGGGGUUAGGGGUGAAAGGCCAAUCAAAUUCCGUGAUAGCUGGUUCUCUCCGAAAUGCAUUUAGGUGCAGCGUUGGUUGAUUGCGCGCAGGGGGUAGAGCGACUGGAUGCUUGCGGGCCCGUACCGGGUACCAAUAGCAACCAAACUCCGAAUACCUGUCGUGUGUAUGCCAGCAGUGAGUCGGCGGGGGAUAAGCUCCGUCGUCGAGGGGGAGACAGCCCUGACCGUCGUCUAAGGUCCCCAAGCGCGUGCUAAGUGGGAAAGGAUGUGGAGUCGCAUAGACAGCCAGGAGGUUGGCUCAGAAGCAGCCAUCCUUGAAAGAGUGCGUAACAGCUCACUGGUCUAGUGGUUCCGCGCCGACAAUGUAGCGGGGCUCAAGCACGCCACCGAAGACGCGGCAACAACCCUUGUGGUUGUUGGGUAGGAGAGCGUCCCAUACCGGGUUGAAGCCGCGGAGUGAUCCUGUGGUGGACCGUAUGGGAGUGAGAAUGCAGACAUGAGUAGCGAGAGCAAGGUGAGGAUCCUUGCCGCUGGAUGACCAAGGGUUCCAGGGCCACGUUCGUCGUCCCUGGGUGAGUCGGGUCCUAAGGCGAGGCCGACAGGCGUAGUCGAAUGGAUGAACGGGUUGAUAUUCCCGUACCGGCCCUUUGACCGAUCAACGGCCCCCUGGCCGAACACACAUUUCCGUGUUGGUUCCCAUGCCCUUCGGGGUGUGGGGCGAUGCAUGGGUCUGUGUGGGGCGCCUUGGGGUCGAGCGCGUGGAGUGACGCGGACGGGUAGCCGGCCGGGGAGGUGGUUUUCCCUGGUCAAGCGUGUGGCCCCGCCCCCAGGCAAAUCCGGGGGCAUCAUGGGGUGAGGCGUGAUGAUGGGGGCCCUUGUGGCCCGAUAUCCGGUGAUCCCGUCGGCCGAGAAAAGCUUCGGCGUGAGGUCUUGGGCCGCUCGUACCCCAAACCGACACAGGUGGUCAGGUAGAGUAUACCAAAGCGAGCGAGCGAAUCCUGGUCAAGGAACUCGGCAAACCGCUCCCGUGCCUUCGGCAUAAGGGAGACCCCCCGCGGUGACGGGCCCUCGCGGCCCUCGAGCGGUGGGGGGUGGCACAAGCCAGGGGGUAGCGACUGUUUACCAAAAACACAGGUGCAUGCCAAGACGCAAGUCGCCGUAUAUGCACUGACGCCUGCCCGGUGCCGGAAGGUUAAGAGGAUCCAUCAGCGCGGCUUGCCGCGCGAAGUGGUGAAUUCAAGCCCCGGUAAACGGCGGUGGUAACUAUAACCAUCCUAAGGUAGCGAAAUUCCUUGUCGGGUAAGUUCCGACCUGCACGAAUGGCGUAACGACUUCCCCGCUGUCUCGACCAGGAGCUCGGCGAAAUUGCAGUACGAGUAAAGAUGCUCGUUAAGCGCAGAAGGACGAAAAGACCCCGGGACCUUUACUAUACCUUGGUAUUGGCAUCAGGUGCGGAUUGUGUAGCAUAGGCGGGAGACUGUGAAGCACGCACGCCAGUGUGUGUGGAGUCGACAGGUGAAAUACCGCUCUGUCCCCAUCUGAUGCCUAACCCGGACAAGUGAGCCUUGUCGGGGACAGUGCCUGGCGGGUAGUUUAACUGGGGCGGUUGCCUCCCAAAGAGUAACGGAGGCGCUCAAAGGUCCGCUCGGCCCGGUUGGCAAUCGGGUGUCGAGUGUAAUCGCACAAGCGGGCUUGACUGCGAGAUCGACGGAUCGAGCAGGGACGAAAGUCGGAGAUAGUGAUCCGGUGCCGGCGUACGGACGCGGCAUCGCUCAACGGAUAAAAGGUACCCCGGGGAUAACAGGCUGAUCAUUCCCAAGAGUCCAUAUCGACGGGAUGGUUUGGCACCUCGAUGUCGGCUCGUCGCAUCCUGGGGCUGGAGCAGGUCCCAAGGGUUCGGCUGUUCGCCGAUUAAAGCGGCACGCGAGCUGGGUUCAGAACGUCGUGAGACAGUUUGGUCUCUAUCCUCUGCGCUCGUUGGAAUCCUGAGGAGGCCUGCCCAUAGUACGAGAGGACCUGGGUGGACGAACCUCUGGUAUGCCAGUUGUCGCGCCAGCGGCAUGGCUGGUUGGCCACGUUCGGGAGGGAUAACCGCUGAAAGCAUCUAAGCGGGAAGCCCGCUCCAAGAUAAGGAUUCCUGACCCCCCUUCG
rnacentral:rRNA from 1 species